AAAAACUUAGUUAACAAAUAACAUUAGCAUGUCAAGCUAAAAUUAUUAGCCCCCCCCUAGUAGUUUUUA
rnacentral:tRNA from 1 species